rnacentral:tRNA from 1 species
GCUGGCGUAGCUCAAUGGUAGAGCAGCUGAUUUGUAAUCAGCAGGUUGGGGGUUCAACUCCCUUCGCCAGCU